GCUAAAGGUUUUUCUUUAGCUGGAUUUGUGUGGCCGUUCAAGAUGUGGGUGUUGGAGACUUUUCCUCAUUUUAAGAAUUCAAGGGAAUGGUAUCAAGGUGAGACGAUUCCAAGAUUUUUGGGAUGGAAAGAAGGCAAGAAGUUUAUGAGGAGCAGUGUCGAUUCAUUGCUACAAACAGCUGCAAACAAACGUGAAUUUAGAC